rnacentral:rRNA from 1 species
ACAUGCAAGUCGAACGAACCAUCCUGAUGAUUGAAGCUUGCUUCAUGAUUCAGACCUUGGUGAGUGGCGGACGGGUGAGUAACACGUGGGUAACCUGCCCAGAAGUGGGGGAUAACAUUUGGAAACAAGUGCUAAUACCGCAUAACAACUUAGAUCACAUGAUCUUUGUUUAAAAGAUGGUUUUGCUAUCUCUUCUGGAUGGACCCGCGGCGUAUUAGCUAGUUGGUGAGGUAAUAGCUCACCAAGGCGAUGAUACGUAGCCGACCUGAGAGGGUAAUCGGCCACAUUGGGACUGAGACACGGCCCAAACUCCUACGGGAGGCAGCAGUAGGGAAUCUUCCACAAUGGACGAAAGUCUGAUGGAGCAAUGCCGCGUGAGUGAAGAAGGUUUUCGGAUCGUAAAACUCUGUUGUAAGAGAAGAAUGACAUUGAGAGUAACUGUUCAAUGUGUGACGGUAUCUUAUCAGAAAGGAACGGCUAAAUACGUG